rnacentral:rRNA from 1 species
UGGCCCAGAUCGUUUACCGUGAAAAAAUUAGAGUGUUCAAAGCAGGCAGAUCCAAUUUUCUGCCACCGAAUACAUUAGCAUGGGAUAAUGGAAUAGGACCCUGUCCUCCUAUUUUCAGUUGGUUUUGGCAGCGCGAGGACUAGGGUAAUGAUUAAUAGGGAUAGUUGGGGGCAUUAAUAUUUAAUUGUCAGAGGUGAAAUUCUUGGAUUUAUGAAAGAUUAACUUCUGCGAAAGCAUCUGCCAAGGAUGUUUUCAUUAAUCAAGAACGAAAGUUAGGGGAUCGAAGACGAUCAGAUACCGUCGUAGUCUUAACCAUAAACGAUGCCGACCAGCGAUUAGGAGACGUUGAAUACAAAACACCACCAUCGGUGCGGUCGUCCUUGGCGCGUUGGUCUUCAAAAGCCAGCGCGCGGGGGCGGCUUAGCCCGGUGGCACCGGUGAAUGACUCCCCUAGCAGCUUGUGAGA